AUGGCUGUACUGGUGCUGCUCCUCUGCCUGGUGACAUUUCCAAGUUGUGCCCUGUCCCAAAUACAGCUGAAAGAGUCAGGACCUGGCCUAGUGCAGCCAUCACAGAGUCUGUCUCUCACCUGCACUGUCUCUGGAUUCUCAUUAACCAGCUAUCAUGUACACUGGGUCCGCCAGCCUCCAGGAAAGGGUCUGGAGUGGAUGGGAGCAAUAUGGAGUGGUGGAGGCACAGAUUAUAAUUCAGCUCUUCAGUCCCGAAUUACUAUCACCAGAGACACCUCCAAGAGCCAAGUUUUCUUAAAACUGAACAUUCUGAAAACUGAGGACACAGCCAUGUAUUUCUGUGCCAAGGACACAGUGAGAAAACUCCACUGUGAGCUUGGACAAAAACCUCCAAAUGGAGAUACUCACCACCAGCAGGGGGUGUUGGAGAACAACAGGGUCUCCCAAGAGCAGUAUGUGGUUGCUUAA